CUCCCUUCCUACUAUUAAUGCAGGCAGCAAUGGAGAAAUGUGCGCAAUUUUUCCAGUCUCUGCACUCGGCAAGCCCAUGGGUGAUGGAUUAAAGAUACCCCUUCUGAAUCGCCCAAGGACCAAAGGGGAAGUUGUAUGAACAUGGCUGUUCAUGUGACCAUGCGGAUGGGGAGCCAUGUCCAGAAAGGUGAAGGACGGGCAGACGAGCCAACAGAUGUGUCCCACCAAAGAGGAUGGACCCCUGCCCUUAUCUUGGGGGCAGGAGGCCACUCUGAAAGAGGAAAAAGGUUGAGCCCUCCAUAAAAGCACCCAGUGAAGGGGCAGGUGGGUGCCGAAUCUUCUCCCUGCUCUGCUUGCCAAGCCCCUGGACUGGGAGAUUGCAUUGGCUCUGAGGACACAGAGUGUGUGUGUGUGUGUGUGUGUGACUUAGAUUAGGGAAAGGGGUGUGUGCUUUUCUAAUUCACACAAAGGUUUUGUAGUAACAGCAACUGCCCUGAAAUUGAACCUACCUCGCUGAGUUAUUAUGCUAGACAAAUGUGAAAAUUUAAAUAAAAU
rnacentral:lncRNA from 1 species